CCCAGAGAUCACUCCAGGCAAGACCUGUUUUCCAGGUCCGUGCUUCGGACGCCGACGACGAAUGAGGCCCAGACAAGGAGGAGCCGGUUGUGAUAGAAAGUCCUGGAGUGGUCGUGGCAGAAGAAGCCUGACCCAGAGGUGGAAAUCCAGAGCUUGAAGAAAGCUUUGGGGGAUUCGUUUUAUGGGACUGAUCGUGGAUUGAAAGCUAGUAGUGAGACCAGGGCUGAGAUUGUUGAGCUUAUAACUCAGCUCGAGGCGAAGAACCCUACUCCAGCACCCACCGAGGCGUUGCCUCUACUCAACGGCAAAUGGAUUCUCGCGUAAACAUGUUUUCCAGGUCUGUGCUUCGGACGCCGACGAUGAAUGGGGCCCAGACAAGGAGGAGCCGGUUGUGAUAGAGAGUCCUGGAGUGGCUAUGGCAGAAGAAGAGAAGAAGCCUGACCAAGUGGUGGAAAUCCAGAGCUUGAAGAAAGCUUUGGUGGAUUCGUUUUAUGGGACUGAUCGUGGAUUGAAAGCUAGUAGUGAGACCAGGGUUGAGAUUGUUGAGCUUAUAACUCAGCUCGAGGC